rnacentral:rRNA from 1 species
GACGAACGCUGGCGGCGUGCUUAACACAUGCAAGUCGAACGGAAAGGCCCUGCUUGCGGGGUACUCGAGUGGCGAACGGGUGAGUAACACGUGGGUGAUCUGCCCUGCACGUCGGGAUAAGCCUGGGAAACUGGGUCUAAUACCGGAUAGGAGCCAUUUUUAGUGUGAUGGUUGGAAAGUUUUUUCGGUGUAGGAUGAGCUCGCGGCCUAUCAGCUUGUUGGUGGGGUAAUGGCCUACCAAGGCGGCGACGGGUAGCCGGCCUGAGAGGGUGGACGGCCACAUUGGGACUGAGAGACGGCCCAGACUCCUACGGGAGGCAGCAGUGGGGAAGAUUGCACAAUGGGCGCAAGCCUGAUGCAGCGACGCCGCGUGGGGGAUGACGGCCUUCGGGUUGUAAACUCCUUUCGCUAGGGACGAAGCUUUUUGUGACGGUACCUAGAUAAGAAGCACCGGCUAACUACGUG